CUACCGUCUAAGACCACCUUAUUCAGAAGAAGUUAGGGCUGGCUUGUGGGAGAGAAUGACAGGUUCAGAAAUCCAGCCAUGACCUCACACAAGUGAGGGAAGAGAGCCCAUCCAGUUCCCACGACUCUUGUACUCUAACUUAUUGCUAUUAGGAUUUUUGUUAUUCUGGUUCUCCAGUCCUCCUGUUGAUGCUUUUAUUUGCUGGUGGAGAAUUUCAACAAACCCAUUUCAUCUCUUUGGACCUUUAUUUUCUUACCCAACGAUAGGAAAUAAUGACAACUAUCUACCUCAUGGGGUGGUUCUACAAUUUUAAUGAGAGUCCAGCGAGAGGCCAUACCGUGGCAACCAUUGUAAGUCAUUUCUUUCUCUUCAACAUCCCAAAGAAAACCAACAGC
rnacentral:lncRNA from 1 species